AUUUCAAAUUUACUAUGCAAAACACUUUUACAUCAAAAGGAUUAGAUGCAGCCAGACAGUGGUAUUUGUACGAAGAAAUCAGGGAAUAUUGUUAUAGCGAGGCUAAUAAAGAUGUCAUUUGUCCAAAGCCACCAAUUGCAAAAAGUGAGGUUGACUUGACCAGUGAUGUGGAUACCAAUAAACACAAAUGUCCACCAAGGAAGCAGAAUCUACUUAAUUCAAAUACACACAAAUACAGCCCUUGGAUGGUGUAAACUUCCCAAAACAACGUGUAUGGUGUAAUGGUGUAUGGCAUAUGGUGCAAUGGUGUAAGGUGUAUGGUGCUAUGGUGUAUGGUGUAAGGGGAAUGGU
rnacentral:lncRNA from 1 species